rnacentral:rRNA from 1 species
UACGUAGGGUGCAAGCGUUGUCCGGAAUUAUUGGGCGUAAAGAGCUCGUAGGCGGUUUGUCGCGUCUGCUGUGAAAACUCGGGGCUUAACCCCGGGCCUGCAGUGGGUACGGGCAGACUAGAGUGCAGAAGGGGCAACUGGAAUUCUCGGUGUAGCGGUGAAAUGCGUAGAUAUCGAGAGGAACACCUGCGGCGAAGGCGGGUUGCUGGGCUGACACUGACGCUGACAGCGCGAAAGCUAGGGGAGCGAACGGG